GAUGAAGAACGCAGCGAAAUGCGAUAAGUAAUGUGAAUUGCAGAAUUCCGUGAAUCAUCGAAUCUUUGAACGCACAUUGCGCCCUCUGGUAUUCCGGGGGGCAUGCCUGUCCGAGCGUCAUUUGCAACCCUCAAGCCCGGCUUGUGUGAUGGGUGCCGUCCCCUACGGGACGCGCCCCGAAGGCAAUGGCGGCGUCGCGGUUAUCCGAUCAGCCAAAGUGUAUGGGGCUUUGUCACUCACUUUACGGCCCGGACCGGCGCCAGUCCGAAUCAAUCUUUUUUCUAAAGUUGACCUCGGAUCAGGCAGGGAUACCCGCUGAACUUAAGCAUAUCAAUAAGCGGAGA
rnacentral:misc_RNA from 1 species